rnacentral:rRNA from 1 species
AUGAAGUCCACCUAUGUGCUGGCUAGCUGGGAAGGGUCAACACAUGAUGCUAACAUACUGAGUGACAACAUCAGUCGUCCUAAUGGCAUCAACAUCUCCGAUGGAAAGUUCUACCUAGGAGAUGCUGGCUAUGCAUGUCGGCCAGGUGUUCUUCCACCCUUCAGGAAUACCAGGUACCAUCUGAACGAGUUCUUUGGUACGAACUACCCUAGGACUCCACAAGAGCUGUUCAAUCUCAGACACUCCAGCCUUCGAGUAAUGGUUGAGAGGGCAUUUGGAGCUCUCAAGAACAUGUUCAAGAUCCUGGGCCAUUCCACCCUUACCCUACCCAGGUUAAACUUGUUCUUGCAUGUUGCAUUCUGCAUAACUGGAUCCUGCAAUGGGGCAUUGACGAACUGGUGCCUGAGGAGGAAGAGGUGA